rnacentral:rRNA from 1 species
ACUACGCUGUGUGAUGGAUGACUAGGCUUGAGUGCCGAUGAAGGGCGUGGCAAGCUGCGAUAAGCUCCGGGUAGACGCACGCAGUCUCUGAUCCGGAGAUCCCUGAAUAGGACUUCCUCAUUGUGCUCCUUAUGGAGCGGGAACCCCCCGAACUGAAACAUCUUAGUAGGGGGAGGAAGAGAAAACAACCGUGAUUUCCUCAGUAGCGGCGAGCGAAGAGGAAAAAGCCCAAACUGAAUACGCGGGGAGACCCGCCGUAGAUGUGGUGUUCGGGCCAGGAUUGCUCCUUCUCAACGAAGUCAAAGUGCUCUGGAAAGCUCCGCCGUAGAGGGUGAUAGCCCCGUAGAUGCAUGUUGAGAGGAAUGUUCCUGGUACCUGAGUAGCGCUGCUUGGGAUUGCAGCGUGAAUACGGGAGGCAUUAACUUCCAAGGCUAAACACAACUCAAGACCGAUAGAGUAUUAGUACGGUGACGGAAAGUUGAAAAGUCCCCCGAGAGGGGCGUUAAAAGAGCCUGAAGUCACACAGUUACAGACGAUUGGGGCCUGGAAGGGUAGAAGCACCAGAACGAAAGCGCGGUGACGCGCCGGUAGGAUGGUGUGGACCAGGGUUCCAAUAUCCGUUUAGAAUCACGGACCGGGGAGUUCUCUCAUGUGGCGAGCCUAAGACAUGAUCGUAAGCGAAGGGAAACCGAAGCGCGGGCAGCCGCAAGGCGAGCCGCUGGGUCUGAAUAGGGCCCGAAGUCACGUGAGAUAGACUAGAAACCAGAUGAUCUAUCCCUGGGCAGGGUGAAGUCAGGCGAAAGCCUGAUGGAGGCCCGCAAUGGUUUUGAUAUGUAAUUCAAUCAUCUGACCUGGGGAUAGGGGCAAUAGACCAAUCUAAUUUGGUGAUAGCUAGUUCCCUCCGAAGUAUGUCGCAGCAUAGUCUCCGGGGAGGUUGCACGCGGGGUAGAGCACUAAUCGGGUGUCACGGAAGGGAAACCUUUCAGCAGCCUUUUAAACUCCGAAUACGCGUGCGCUGUAGAACCGGGGAGACGGGAUGAUCGGGUUAAGCUCGAUCUCCGCGAGGGGGACAACCCGGACUAAGGUUAAGGCCCCCAAGUCCUGGCUAAGUGACAAACAGAAGGGCGUCGUAAUCCUAAAACAGCGGGGAGGUAAGCUUAGAAGCAGCUAUCCUUUAAAGAAAUCGUAACAGAUCACCCGCCGAGGAUUGGGGCCCCGAAGAUGGACGGGUCUUAAGCCAGGCGCCGAUACCUUAGGCCAAAUGUGUGGUAGGAGGGCGUCCCGCAUGGGUGGAAGUGAGGCCGUGAGGUCUUGUGGACCGUGCAGGGAUUGCAAAUCCCGGUGGUAGUAACAGCAUAGUCGGGUGAGAAUCCCGAUCGCCGAAAGAGCAAGGGUUUCCCGGCAAUGCGUCGUCAGCCGGGAGUUAGCCGAUCCUAAGUGCAGCGUUAACAUGACUGCUCGAAAGGGAAACUGGUUAACAUUCCAGUGCCACGGAGGUACACGAGGUGACUCUAAGCUCAACAGUUGACGAUUCGGGGUAGGCUGAGCAGGGUCGUCGCCCUGUUUAACUGCAUAACUCUGGGGAGUACCGUAAUGGUGAGAACCAGAGGAAAACAGGAAUAGCGUCCCGUUAGGGGCGUUCAGCUGCGCCCUGGAUCCCUUGAAAAGAUUGUUGAGAGGAAUCCUCCGUGUUCGUACCCAGAACCAACACUGGUGCUCAGGGUGAGAAGCCCAAGGCGUGUCGGGGGCAAUUCUGGCGAGGGAAUUCGGCAAAUUAGCCCCGUAUCUUUGGUAUAAGGGGUGCCUACGGCGCUUAGGAAACUUGGCGCGGUAGGUCGCAGUGACUAGGGGGUUCCGGCUGUUUAAUAAAAACAUAGGUAGCCGCCAGGCCGUAAGGCUGUGUACGGCUAUUGAAUCCUGUCCAGUGGUGAUACCUGAAACCUGAUUUCAACCGGGCUACGCUAAACGACGGGAGUAACUCUGACUCUCUCAAGGUAGCCAAAUGCCUUGUCGUGUAAGUUACGACGUGCAUGAAUGGAUCCACGAGGACCCCGCUGUCCCCGCCAGAACCCCGGUGAACCUACCUGCUGGACGAACAGUCCAGCGACUUCCAGUGGAACAAGAAGACCCCGUGGAGCUUUACUGCAGUCAGUCGCUGGGGAUCGGUUGCUUUUGCAGAGCGUAUGUGGGAGCCAGUGAGUGCGCAUCUCCGGGUGCGCAGGAGGCGACAAUGGAACACCACACACUUGUGACUGCUUCCCUGACCAAGACCUUCGAUGUCUGGAACAACGGCUGAUGGGCAGUUCGGCUGGGGCGGCACCCCCUUGAAAAGGAAUCGAGGGGGCCCAAAGACUAGCUCAGGAGGGACAGAAACCCUCCGUAGAGUGUAAAGGCAAAAGCUAGUUUGAUCGGACCUCUAACAAUAGGAGGUCCGAAGGUGAAAGCCAGGCUUAACGAGCUAUCAUGUCCUUAUUAAUGAGGGCUGGUAGUGUCAGAAAAGUUACCCCGGGGAUGGGCGAGAGUUCGCAUCGACCUCGCGGUUCGGUACCUCGAUGUCGGCUCUUCCUAUCCUGGCCUUGCAUAAGGGGCCAAGGGUGAGGCUGCUCGCCUAUUAAAAGGGAUCGUGAGCUGGGUUUAGACCGUCGCGAGACAGGUCGGAUUUUAUUUACUGGGAGUGUUGGAUGUCUGAGGGGAAAGGGCGAUUAGUACGAGAGGAACAUCGCGCUGUGGCCUCUGGUGUACCGGUUGUCUGAUAAGGCAACGCCGGGCAGCUACGCCGCGUCGGAUAAGGGCUGAAAGCAUCUAAGCCCGAAGCCGCUCCUAAAAAUAGACAUCCGUACCUUCGGGUUGGAGGGCUCCGGUAGAAGACCGGUUCAAUGGAGACGGGGUGUAAGUAUCGAGGCUUCGGCCGAGGUACUCAGCCCGCGUCCCCCAAACGCC